rnacentral:rRNA from 1 species
AUACGUAGGUGGCAAGCGUUGUCCGGAUUUAUUGGGCGUAAAGCGAGCGCAGGCGGUUUCUUAAGUCUGAUGUGAAAGCCCCCGGCUCAACCGGGGAGGGUCAUUGGAAACUGGGAAACUUGAGUGCAGAAGAGGAGAGUGGAAUUCCAUGUGUAGCGGUGAAAUGCGUAGAUAUAUGGAGGAACACCAGUGGCGAAGGCGGCUCUCUGGUCUGUAACUGACGCUGAGGCUCGAAAGCGUGGGGAGCAAACAGGAUUAGAUACCCUGGUAGUCCACGCCGUAAACGAUGAGUGCUAAGUGUUGGAGGGUUUCCGCCUUUCAGUGCUGCAGCUAACGCAUUAAGCACUCCGCCUGGGGAGUACGACCGCAAGGUUGAA